UAUAAUUAUUGCUAGAAAAGAUUGUUUAGAUAAAUAAUUACUUACUGGUUACACCAACUUCAAAAACACAAUAUUUCAAUAGAAUGUAACGCCACUGUCUUUUUUUAGGUUGGCAGCACAGCUGUCACAACCGUCAUAACAAUCGAUAAAAUUAUUAUACAGUUUUUUCGACAAUGAUCAGCAAAAAAAAAUAUGGUAAAAUGAUUAAAUAAAUUCUUACCUUCGCAGGUAAUAAGGAUUGAAUGAAGGUGCGACAGAUUCAAGAUAACUCCAAGUUUUACCCAUUUCCUCACAACGAUGUUGAAAAUAUUGGGCCCCUUUGGAGCCCCAGUAUGAAUUCUACGUCGGUGGGAACACUUCGAAAUGUUCCUGCAACACGUUGCCUACAAUUUGUGUUUGAGGUUAGAGUUUGCCAACUUGGCAAAUCGAAUUUAAAGUAAUGUUGUUACCUGUUUAUUCGUGAAUGAUCUUCAGAGGUCAAAUGAUCUUGUACUAAAAGUACUUCACGUGGAUUAACAAUGUUUUUGAUUAAGCCAGAGCAUUUUCUUCUCGUUAAAUCAGGCAAAGUUAAAUAUGUUGACAAAUUAAGGCAGACGUGGUUGAAUGAAGGUCUAAGACAACUUGGGUUACUUAUUUAGUCUUAACCUUGGCUCUAGUUGACAAUAUUGGCCCCCACUGAUAUCCUAGUGUGAAUUCUACGUUGUUAGGAGCACUUUGGAAUGUUCCUGCAGUUAUUUUAUUUAAUUACCUAUUUUUGCGUACAGUUAUCUUCAGAGGUAAAUUCACAUUGUUUUACCAUUUUUCAUUCCUCUUGGAGGUUUUUGGGGUUCCAACACCAACAUCCUGGAAACCCCCUGGAAGUGUUUAGCCAGAACACUUUAAUCUCUUUUUCUUCUUCUUCUUCUUUAUAAAUCAGGCAAAGUUGGAAAUGUUGACAAAUUAAAGCAAACGUGGUUACAUUUAACCUCUAAGAAGUAGAUGGUCUAUAGCCACUAGAACAUACCGUUUAUUUGUUGCUGAUGCAACAAAUAGUAAUUUUUACACAUUGUAAUGUUUCAAAAUCAAAAGUUUUCGCACAAAAAAAAUUUAAAUGUAUAGCCCUUUUGGUUUUGAUUUAAUAACACAACUACUUCUUAAGAAUGACUAAAAAUAUAAAAGUUGUAAAUCUUGUUACGUAUGUAUUAUUUAAUUUUUUUAAUGUUCAGACCUGUUAAAAGCAGGCACUAGGUAUAAAGAAAGUGUCCUAAAUUUUACACAAAAGGUUUUCUUUUUUGUUUCUUUAAAAAUGUUUGUGUUACUUUCACCGUCUUAACAAUUAAUUGAGAACUUUAUGGAGUGACAAAUAAUGUUUUAUUCAUUACAACUUACACCAAAUACAUGGACACCUUUUCUGUUGGAUUGUUAUAGUUAAUCAUUCAAGCAAUAUUUGUCAUUUUAUUUUAAGAGUAAGAUGUUUUGUACUUUUAACUACAUAUUAAUAAAGUAAAUAAAUGUCUCCAAA